GACGAACGCUGGCGGCGUGCCUAAUACAUGCAAGUCGAACGCUUCUUUCCUCCCGAGUGCUUGCACUCAAUUGGAAAGAGGAGUGGCGGACGGGUGAGUAACACGUGGGUAACCUACCCAUCAGAGGGGGAUAACACUUGGAAACAGGUACUAAUACCGCAUAACAGUUUAUGCCGCAUGGCAUAAGAGUGAAAGGCGCUUUCGGGUGUCGCUGAUGGAUGGACCCGCGGUGCAUUAGCUAGUUGGUGAGGUAACGGCUCACCAAGGCCACGAUGCAUAGCCGACCUGAGAGGGUGAUCGGCCACACUGGGACUGAGACACGGCCCAGACUCCUACGGGAGGCAGCAGUAGGGAAUCUUCGGCAAUGGACGAAAGUCUGACCGAGCAACGCCGCGUGAGUGAAGAAGGUUUUCGGAUCGUAAAACUCUGUUGUUAGAGAAGAACAAGGACGUUAGUAACUGAACGUCCCCUGACGGUAUCUAACCAGAAAGCCACGGCUAACUACGUG
rnacentral:rRNA from 1 species